AGUGAACGCUGGCGGUAGGCCUAACACAUGCAAGUCGAACGGCAGCACAGUAAGAGCUUGCUCUUACGGGUGGCGAGUGGCGGACGGGUGAGGAAUACAUCGGAAUCUACUUUUUCGUGGGGGAUAAUGUAGGGAAACUUACGCUAAUACCGCAUACGACCUACGGGUGAAAGCAGGGGAUCUUCGGACCUUGCGCGAUUGAAUGAGCCGAUGUCGGAUUAGCUAGUUGGCGGGGUAAAGGCCCACCAAGGCGACGAUCCGUAGCUGGUCUGAGAGGAUGAUCAGCCACACCGGAACUGAGACACGGUCCAGACUCCUACGGGAGGCAGCAGUGGGGAAUAUUGGACAAUGGGCGCAAGCCUGAUCCAGCCAUACCGCGUGGGUGAAGAAGGCCUUCGGGUUGUAAAGCCCUUUUGUUGGGAAAGAAAAGCAGCAGGUUAAUACCCCGCUGUUCUGACGGUACCCAAAGAAUAAGCACCGGCUAACUUCGUG
rnacentral:rRNA from 1 species